rnacentral:SRP_RNA from 12 species
GCCGAGCUUGCACGAUAGCUUGUAACCCGAAUGGGGGCACCAAGAUGGUGGAACAUGGCUAUGACUUCACUGGGUUGGUCUGGUGGUUGCACCUUGUUGGCCUGCCCGCUCCAAGUCGAGAGGUGGGCCAUGUGUCUUUAGUGAAAGCUAAGGUCUUGUGGUUCCUAGACAGGAGGGCAAAGCGUGAGGCUGGUGUCACAGAGCAGCGAACACUUCUGGCUCCUGACAGUGGAGGGAUAACAGGCUGCUGCACCUUCAGCCCACAAAUGCCUAGUGAACCCAGCUACCUGAACUAUCAUUUUC